GAUGAAGAACCGUAGCGAAAUGCGAUAAGUAAUGUGAAUUGCAGAAUUCAGUGAAUCAUCGAAUCUUUGAACGCACAUUGCGCCCGCCAGUAUUCUGGCGGGCAUGCCUGUUCGAGCGUCAUUACAACCCUCAGGCCCCCGGGCCUGGCGUUGGGGAUCGGCGGAGCCCCCCGUGGGCACACGCCGUCCCCCAAAUACAGUGGCGGUCCCGCCGCAGCUUCCAUCGCGUAGUAGCUAACACCUCGCGACUGGAGAGCGGCGCGGCCACGCCGUAAAACACCCAACUCUUCUGAAGUUGACCUCGAAUCAGGUAGGAAUACCCGCUGAACUUAAGCAUAUCAAUAAGCGGAGGA
rnacentral:misc_RNA from 1 species